CACUGAAAACUGCCUUUUUCAAGCCAUCAGAAAGGAUUUCCUCUAUAUAGCCUUUGAUAUUUUCCAUAUAUCUCCUCUUUUCUUUAUUUUCUCUAAGCUCUACUAUAUUAUCAUCCCAUUGUUUUCCAUUAUAUUUUAACAUUAUUAUACCAUCGAAGGUAGGCAUAAAAAAGAAAUAAUUGAAAUUUUUUCCUAUUUGUGGUAGAAUAUGACUUGUGGUCAUGCAUCACUGAUACGAAAAUGGAGGAGGUUUUUCUCAUGAGAGGAACAGUAAAAUGGUUUAACGCAAAGAAGGGGUUUGGAUUUAUUUCUGAUGCCGAUGGUAAUGACGUAUUCGUUCACUUUUCUGCCCUGCAGAUGGACGGCUUCAAGGUACUGGAAGAUAAUGAAGAGGUUGAAUUUGAUAUAGUAGAUGGAGCCAAAGGCCCACAGGCAGCUAACGUAGUACGCCUGGCUUAAUAAAACCAGAACACUUAAAAACCGCCGACAGAUAGUUACUCUGUCAGCGGUUU
rnacentral:sRNA from 1 species